AUACUCUGGUUUCUCUUUAGAUUGUUCAAAUCUUUCGCCUUUUACUAAAGAUUUCCAUGGAGAGGAACACCAGUUUAAGAGUCAUCGAGCACU
rnacentral:snRNA from 1 species